rnacentral:misc_RNA from 1 species
GAGGCGUGUCUCCUGCUGGUUUGAGCCAAACCUCAAGCGGAAUGUCAUAGUUCACAUGUUUAUGUUCUGUUAAAUAUGGAAGGGGCUCAGGUUCCUGCUUUGGAGCAUUGCAAGCAAAAGGUUCUAGAGCAUCUAGGGUCACAAUCCAAGGUGAAAUUGUUGUACCAAAGUUCUUCCCAAGGAAAGGCCCGAGAGGAACAUACUCCCAUGAUUGGAUAUCUCUAGCACUCCAGUCAUUCAUUAGAACGAGUCCAAAAAUAUGAUCUUUGGCUUUGUCGAUAUCUACCGGUUUGCCCAAUUCAUUUCCAGGACCAACUAUAACAGCCAUUUCAAGUUCGAAAUCCAGCUUUUGUGAGGGCCCGAAAUAAGGUGGAGAAUUUCCCACUGGAUGGGCUUGACCUCUUGGUCGAAUAAUAUCUGUUCCAGAAAUUACUACAGAUGAUGCCCGGCCAUGAUAAGCUACAGGAAGGUGAAACCAGUUUUGUAAAAUUGGAUUCUCUGGUCCUCGAAAUAUGGUCCCACAGUUUUUCGUAUGAUGCAUGGAGGAAAAGAAGUCGGUAUAGUCUCCGAUCAACACGGGCAAAAGCAUCUCAACCUCAGACAUCAGUAGAAGUGUUUUCUCCCUCAAAUUGUCAUCGUCACGUAAAGUUGG